GGGAUGUGGCGGAAUGGUAGACGCGAGGGACUUAAAAUCCCUUGGUAGAAAUACCGUGAGGGUUCAACUCCCUCCAUCCCC
rnacentral:tRNA from 1 species